CCUGCCUGCUUCUACCACCUGUUUUUAGUACCAGGCUUUUUGAUUCGUUUCAGUUCCCGAAGAGCAGGGGGCAGCUGAGCAGGGAGCAGGGCAGGCAACAGUGGAAAGACCAGGGUGUUGUUUUUGUAGACAGGAGGCCUGGUUUUCGUCGGGCGUGAGGAGAUACCCAGGUGGUUUUUCUGCAGCCCCUCGUGCAGGCCUGGCCUGCUGGAAUGGAUUUCAAUUCUCCUUUGCCAAACUACACUUUCAAGAGGUGUCGGAUAUCGAAAACCUCUCCCCCGAGCCAAAGCAAGCAUUUGGGGGAGGAGAGGUCCAGAGGGGCGAGGGACGGUCGGAGAAGAUGCUGGUUAAAAAAAGAAGGCAGGAGCAGUAAGAAAAGUUCUUUCACGUGGCGUUCCAAUUUGGCUGUUGCUUUUUCAAAUAAUUGGUUAAAAACCGUGCAUCAAGCCAGCAAACAGACUAGGACUCCAAAGACAUUCCACUGGAAAGCUCCAUCCUAUUCCAGGGAAGCUGCCAUUGCUCAAGUACCUUGUGGCAUCUCUUUUGGAAUUGCCUUCAGAGUCCAUUUGUGUGGGCCACAUGGAAAAAAAAUAAACCACUCCACCCCACCUCGUUAUUGACCGAAAAAUCCUAUUACCCAGUUUGAUUACUCACCUAAUUCCCUGGGAUUGGCCUCAAAUGGCUUUAAAAUGCUUCUAAAUAUCAGAUCAACCCUCCAACGAUGAGAACUAGCAACCUUUGAAGAACAUUUUCAAGAAUGCUGAGCAGACUCUGGGGGCAAUUCCAAAAGAAUGGAGAUCCAGGUGGGGUUGGUGGAUGAAGUCAGUGUUGAGCAGAGCCUUGAAAGACAGGAAAGCUCAGAGUAAUGAUAGGAACAAUCUACACACCACCAAGUGCUUUUCCCACCUAGUCUCUCUUUGGAGUCUCCCAACAGGGCAGGCACAAUGAUGAUCACCGGAUGGCAGGGGAAGAAUUUAAAGCCGAGGAAGGGGAUCCCUGGGUGGCGCAGUGGUUUGGCGCCUGCCUUUGGCCCAGGGCGCGAUCCUGGAGACCCGGGAUCGAAUCCCACAUCAGGCUCCUGGUGCAUGGAGCCCGCUUCUCCCUCUGCCUGUGUCUCUGCCUCUCUCUCUCUCUCUCUGUGACUAUCAUAAAUAAAUUUAAAAAAAAAUUUAAAAAAAAUUAAAGCCGAGGAAGAAUCAUGGUGUCCUUGUCACACAGCUAGCAAAUAAAUAACAGAGUCGGUGAAGUCAAGGCUUUGUGCACCUGCAUGCACCAUGCCCACUGGCCUCCUGUGUCCCACAGUAUUUCAGGAGGUAGAAGCCAGUAGCUGGGCUGCCUGGAGGAGAGGAUUUCUAUACAGGAGAAGUGAAAGGCCAUGCUGAGGGAGUAGGUUGGGCUGGCUCUGGGAGGCCUUUGGAGAAGAUUAAGGAGUACGGCAGAGACUGAUGCUGUAGCUACCGGCAAUACUCUUUCACCUGGACCUGGAUGCCGACCCUGUAGGCUGGCUCACUGAACACCUUGUCCCAACUGUCCCUCCUGAAGGCUGACCGCCUGCAGCCAGAGUUCUGAUGAUGGCCUGGACAUAACAAGUGGUGGUCCUACUUGACGUGUGGAACAAUGUGAGGUGAUGGCCAGGUAUGGGGCCAACUGAUCCCCUGGAGAAGGCAUGUGUUUACUCUGCAACCAUCCUGACUCGUCCCCAAGAUCACAGGUGUGGAGUUGAUGCUGAAACUGUCUCAUGGCUUGGAUGGAAGUUUCUCCAAGAUGCAUUGUUCCUGGCUUGGUUCCUUGGCCUUCCAAGAAAUUUUACAAACUUCUCAGUAGUCUCCCUUUUCAUGUAAACUAGCUAAAAUGGAUUCUAUUGUCUGCAACUAAGACCAACGACACACUCUGGUCAAUCUAUCCUUUCAUUCAAUGCAUAGAUACCUUCUUCAAACAAUGUAUUUAUUCAGCAUCUACUGUGUGUCAGAAUUUGUGCUGAAAUGGGCAUUUUUCUUCUGUAAUACAACAACUGCCUUGUGACAGAAUUAUACCCACUCAGAGAGAGGUUAG
rnacentral:lncRNA from 1 species